rnacentral:lncRNA from 1 species
CCAGAACGUGCGUAACAGGCCCGAUGAGGGUGCCAGGCUGUGGCGACCCCCGAGCUUCAGAGGAGAGGGGCACCAGCCGGGGGCCCUGCACAGGCAGCCUCAGAGAGAGGAAAGCUCACGAUCUGGGAGAACUCCAGGCCUGGCCCAGUGAAGACGUCCUUAUCUUCAGCAGACAUUGCCCAGUGCAAGGGGAGUCCAGCCCCAGACUGACUUUCUGAGGUCACAGACGGAGCCUCACCCCAUCCAAGGCGGUGUCCUGGACUCCCACUGUGCUCCCCAGAGGGCAGGGUACCUGGGGCCCAGCCCGGGCGGCAGGAGGGACUCAGCCCCUCGCCCAGGCAGGAAGGGUCCCAAGCAGAGGCCCCUCCCUCAGGCACUCCCCAGCCCACACCUGCAGCACUGGGACCAAGACUAAUAAAACACCAGCCUCACGGAA